rnacentral:lncRNA from 10 species
CAGGACACGUGGCUGAGAAAGAGAAGGGAAGGUGGAGCCGCCAUGUUGAACAUGUCUAGUCCCUAGUUCCUGCUGGUAUUCACCAGUGCAAGCUCCCAGCUUGCUUGCCUAUGUCUGCAGCUUGACUUUACAGGCUGCUCUUCGGUAGAAAAUGAUUUGGGGCUGCUUUUCCUUAAAAAGAAAAGCCUUACGAGGACUCCCAUACCCUUACUAUCUGCCUAAGUGAUUUCUUCUUAACUCCUGUAUCGUUUUGCACUGACCGUACCAUCUCAAGGGACUCAGUAAAUGAAAAAAAGAUAGUGACAUUGCCAGAAUGUGGGUAAUGAACAUUGUUAUUCACAGGAUUUUUGUCCAUCUUAUGCGGACUAACUUGUAUCUAUAUCGGUUUUUCACAG